rnacentral:rRNA from 1 species
CAGCCGCCGCGGGAAUACGUAGGUGGCAAGCGUUAUCCGGAAUUAUUGGGCGUAAAGCGCGCGCAGGCGGUUUCUUAAGUCUGAUGUGAAAGCCCACGGCUCAACCGUGGAGGGUCAUUGGAAACUGGGGAACUUGAGUGCAGAAGAGAAAAGCGGAAUUCCACGUGUAGCGGUGAAAUGCGUAGAGAUGUGGAGGAACACCAGUGGCGAAGGCGGCUUUUUGGUCUGUAACUGACGCUGAGGCGCGAAAGCGUGGGGAGCAAACAGGAUUAGAUACCCGCGUAGUCCCUGUCUCUUAUAC